rnacentral:lncRNA from 1 species
UACGAUUCGAGAAAACCGGUUAGACACGUAACCGCUUAUAUUCAAGAAUAUUGCUUAAUACUGUCGUCUUUAAUAUUAUACAAUACGAAAUAAAUUUUUCCUUCGUGAAACAAUUGCAUUACCAUCAGUCGCAUGCGUACAUCUAAUGGCUUUCCAAAAAAACAAUAAGAAAUUUUUUUAAAUUUAUUUAAUCAAUAAUUCAUUCAAAAUGCACUAUUACUAACUAAACUAACUAAAAUAUUACAAA